CUACGGGCUGCACCAGUGGGGAAUAUUGCACAAUGGAGGAAACUCUGAUGCAGCAACGCCGCGUGGAGGAUGACACAUUUCGGUGCGUAAACUCCUUUUAUAUAGGAAGAUAAUGACGGUACUAUAUGAAUAAGCGCCGGCUAACUCCGUGCCAGCAGCCGCGGUAAUACGGAGGGCGCAAGCGUUACUCGGAAUCACUGGGCGUAAAGAGCGUGUAGGCGGAUAGAUAAGUCAGGAGUGAAAUCCUAUGGCUCAACCAUAGAACUGCUCUUGAAACUGUCUAUCUAGAGUGUGGGAGAGGUAGAUGGAAUUUCUGGUGUAGGGGUAAAAUCCGUAGAGAUCAGAAGGAAUACCGAUUGCGAAGGCGAUCUACUGGAACAUAACUGACGCUGAGACGCGAAAGCGUGGGGAGCAAACAGGAUUAGAUACCCUUGUAGUC
rnacentral:rRNA from 1 species